rfam:Hordeum vulgare subsp. vulgare, WGS project CAJW01000000 data, contig: morex_contig_1761175
AAUGUACUCCCUCUGUCCCAAAAUUCUUGUCUUAGAUUUGUCAAAAUACGAAUGUAUCUAGUUGUGUUUUAGUGUUAGAUAAAUUUAAAUCUACACAAAUCUAAGACGAGAAUUUUGGGACGGAGGAAGUACUCA